GGCGGCGUGCCUAUACAUGCAAGUCGAACGGGAGGCUUGGGAUACUAAGCCGAGAGUGGCGCACGGGUGAGUAACACAUGGCUGACCUGCCCUCCAGAGGGGGAUAACGGCUGGAAACGGCCGCUAAUACCCCAUACGCUCCCUGAGGUUAGAGGCUUAGGGAGGAAAGCUGAGGUGCUGGAGGAGGGGGCUGUGGCCCAUCAGCUAGUUGGUAGGGUAAAGGCCUACCAAGGCGACGACGGGUAGGGGGCCUGAGAGGGUGACCCCCCACACUGGGACUGAGACACGGCCCAGACUCCUACGGGAGGCAGCAGUAAGGGAUCUUGCGACAAUGGGCGAAAGCCUGACGCAGCAACGCCGCGUGCGGGAUGACGGCCUUCGGGUUGUAAACCGCUUUUCGAGGGGAAGAGGGAGGUCGGUACCCUCGGAAUAAGUCUCGGCUAACUACGUGCCAGCAGCCGCGGUAAAACGUAGGAGGCGAGCGUUAUCCGGAUUUACUGGGUUUAAAGGGGGUGUAGGCGGUCUGGAUAGUCGGGUGUGUAAUGCAAUCGCUCAACGAUUGAGCUGCAUCUGAUACUUCCAGGCUAGAGGGCGGUAGAGGAGAGCGGAGCUCCCGGUGUAGCGGUGAAAUGCGUAGAUAUCGGGAGGAACGCCGGUGGCGAAGGCGGCUCUCUGGGCCGUUCCUGACGCUGGGGCCCGAAAGCUGGGGGAGCGAAAGGGAUUAGAUACCCCUGUAGUCCAGCCGUAAACGAUGGGCACUAGGUGUACCUUUUAACGGAGGUAUACCGUCGGGAAACCAAUAAGUGCCCCACCUGGGGAGUACGCCCGCAAGGGUGAAACUCAAAGGAAUUGACGGGGGCCCGCACAAGCGGUGGAGCGCGUGGUUUAAUUCGACGCUAAGCGAAGAUCCUUACCUGGGCUUGACAUGCUGGUAGUACCUUAGUGGAAACGCUGAGGGAUCUACCGUGAGGUAGAAGCCAGUACAGGUGCUGCACGGCUGUCGUCAGCUCGUGCCGUGAGGUGUUGGGUUAAGUCCCGCAACGAGCGCAACCCCUGUCCUUAGUUGCGGCAGCACCCAUGCGGUGGCUGAGCACUCUAAGGAGACUGCCGCCGAUGAGGCGGAGGAAGGUGGGGAUGACGUCAAGUCCGUGUGGCCUUUAUGUCCAGGGCUACACACGCGCUACAAUGGGUGGUACAACAGGCGUAGCGACCCUGUAAAGGGGAGCGAAUCCAUAAAACCAUCCUCAGUUCGGAUUGGGGUCUGCAACCCGACCCCAUGAAGACGGAAUCGCUAGUAAUCACCUAUCAGCAUGGGG
rnacentral:rRNA from 1 species